CCUACGGGAGGCAGCAGUGGGGAAUAUUGGACAAUGGGCGCAAGCCUGAUCCAGCCAUGCCGCGUGAGUGAAGAAGGCCUUAGGGUUGUAAAGCUCUUUCACCCGCGAAGAUGAUGACGGUAGCGGGAGAAGAAGCCCCGGCUAACUCCGUGCCAGCAGCCGCGGUAAUACGGAGGGGGCGAGCGUUGUUCGGAAUUACUGGGCGUAAAGGGCGCGUAGGCGGCGCGACACGUCAGGGGUGAAAGGCCCGGGCUCAACCUGGGAAUUGCCUUUGAAACUGUUGUGCUAGAGACCGGGAGAGGAUGGCGGAAUUCCCAGUGUAGAGGUGAAAUUCGUAGAUAUUGGGAAGAACACCGGUGGCGAAGGCGGCCAUCUGGACCGGAUCUGACGCUGAGGCGCGAAAGCGUGGGGAGCAAACAGGAUUAGAUACCCUGGUAGUCCACGCCCUAAACGAUGAGAACUAGCCGUUGGGGGUAUUUAAACCCUUCGUGGCGCAGCUAACGCGAUAAGUUCUCCGCCUGGGGAGUACGGCCGCAAGGUUAAAACUCAAAGGAAUUGACGG
rnacentral:rRNA from 1 species